CUACUAUCAUUGCGUUGCUCUUUCUGAACUCCUUCCUCGUAGCUGUCACUGCUGGACUAAUAUCGGAUGCCUUGUCUUUUGAUUACUAUCAUCGGAGGUGUCCGAAUCUCGAGAGAAUUGUGCACCAAAAUGUCAAGAAAUGGGUCACCAGGGAUUAUACACUUGCUGCUGCCCUCAUGAGGUUUCAUUUCCAUGACUGCUCCGUUAGGGGAUGUGAUGCUUCAAUACUAAUAGACCACAAAGGAAGUGAGAGGAAAGCCAAGGCAAGCAAGUCAUUAAAGGGGGUAUGAAGUGAUUGAUGACAUCAAAAGAGAAGUGGAGAAGAAGUGCCCAAAGACAGUGUCAUGUGCUUAUAUUCUAACAGCGGCUGCAAGAGAUGCCACAAUUGCAGUAGGAGGUCCGUUCUGGAUGGUGCCUUAUGGCAGGAAAGAUGGCCGAGUUUCCUAUGCCAAUGAAGCUGAUUUGGUUCCAAUGGGCCGUGAGAAGAUUACUGAUUUGCUCGAAUUCUACCAGCCUAAGGGAUUGAACAUUCUUGACUUGGUUGUCCUCUCAGGACUUAACAAUUAUUUGUGUUAGUUCUCAAUGAAGAAAUUCCUUUAUGGUUGAUUCCCCUGUGUUUGACUAUCAGAAGAACUCCCACUUCAACAGGAAAACAUUUCCAUAAGACUUGGUACCAACACCCUGAGACUUUUUCUGAUCUUGAAGUCAGGUAAAUAACCUAUGAUUUUAUAACAAUUCUCCUUCAAGUUACCUUUAUACCCACAGUAUUCAUAAAUUAUUGUAACAAUCCGGUUGAUUUUUUUUUAGUAUUAGAGCCUAAUUCCCCCAUUUGAUUCUCCCUAUAGUUUCUUUUGAUGUUUUGUGACUUGAGGGGAUAGUUGGUUUGGUUCUAGGAUGGUUUGUGAUUCAAUUGGAAUAUUUAGUUCGAACCUUAAGGUAAAAAGAGUUGACCAAGAUUUGACUUUUGAGUAAAUAACUUCAUAAUCAAGAUUUGAAGGUUCUUAUAUGUUCAUAUAAUGAUUUUGGACGUUGGCAUAUUUGUUAUUUGGUUUUGGAUGUUCCUAGAGAAUUUUGAUUCUAUUUGUCGAAAGUUGGCAAUUUGAAGAAUUUGAGAUUUUAUAAGUUUGAUCGAUAGGUUAUUUUGCGGUUAAUGAACUUUCAUUGAGAUAUUGAGACCUUGGAUAGGUUCAAAUGGUUAAAAUGAUCUUAUGUUCAAAGUUUGAUUGUGAUCUGAAAUAUCUAAGUAUGAUUCGAACAGGUUCAGCAACAUCGGAAAGUUUGAAAGUUAAGGAAUGGAUUUGACCUUCGAUUCUUACUUUUAAUGUUGUUUGUGAUGUUUUGAGUCUUUGGAUAAGAUUGAAUGAGGUAUAAUGACUUUUUGGUAUAAUUAGACGAAGGCCCAGGCGGCUCAGGUGAGUUUUGGGGUAGUUUCAGUCUAUUUUAGAGUGAUUUGGAUUUCUGGUGUCUAGUGUGUCGAACCUGCGGUUUCUUCAGUGCAAGUGCAAUGUCACACCAGAAGAUGGGGAGUCGCACCUAGGAAGGCAGACCUGGUGAUGGAAGCACACUGAUACAGAGGAUCUAGCACAUCUGCAAUGUCAUGUAUACGUUGGUGGUGAUCGUACCUAUGAGUCCGCAUAUGUGUAAGGUGCAUCACAGAAGCGAAGUCAAGCUGGAGCUAGGGGCUUGCAGAAGCGAGGUUUUGAUUGUAGAAGCAGUGUUGCUUCUGCGACAAGUGACCUUAGAUACGAAAAUUCCUGACAUGAUGUAUUAUGUCGAGUUUUAUCUCAUUUUCACCAUUUUUGAGUAUUGGAGAUCGGUCAGAGGUGAUCUUUGAAGAGAUUUUCACUACAAUCUUAAGGGUAUGUAAUUUUUGUUUUAUUUUGAUCAUAUAUCUUGUGUCACGACCCAAAACUUAUAAUAGGUCGUGAUGGCACGUAACGCCAUUGUUAGGCAAGCCCAAACGUGAACCUCCAAAUUAAUUAUUCCUUUUUAACUUUUAAAAAUAAAAAUUUCCUUAAAUACACCCAAGAAAAGUAAAAUCUUAUACAACUGUACAUACUUCUUUCUUGAAAAUAUCAAGUGUGAAUAAUACAUAAGCCAUGGUGAUAGUAAUAAUAAGUACAAUAGUGCAUAAACGCUAGAAGCCCCAAAACCUGGUGCCACAAGUGCCUGAGCAAUUUAGAGAACAUACAAACUAAUACAACUAUUGUCCAAAGAAAAAUAGACAGAAAUAGUAAACAAGGUAGAGGGAGACUGGUGCCGCAGAUCGAAGUAAGGCAAGCAACUCACCACUAAGUCUCUGUGGAAGUGCGUCUACGCAGUCGAUUGAAACUGGCAGUGGUUGAAGGUUACUGGUUAACACAGUCGACUGAAACUCGAAGAAGAAGAAGAAGAAGAAGAAGAAGAAGACAUAUUUCCAGAAUUUGUAGAUAUUUUGUAGUCAAAUUGUAGUCAAAUUCGAAAAAUUGU